rnacentral:rRNA from 1 species
ACACGACUACAUUAGACUACCCCGUAGUCCCAGCUGUAAACGAUGCGCGUUAGGUGUGUCAGUGACCACGUGUCACUGAGGUGCCGAAGGGAAACCGUGAAACGCGCCGCCGUGGGAGUACGGUCGCAAGGCUAGAAACUUAAAGGAAUUGGCGGGGAGCACCACAACGGGUGGAGCCUGCGGUUUAAUCGGACUCAACGCCGGAAAUCUCACCGGAUAAGACAGCUGAAUGAUAGUCGGGAUGAAGACUCUACUUGACUAGCUG